rnacentral:rRNA from 1 species
UGGGGAAUUUUGCGCAAUGGGCGAAAGCCUGACGCAGCAACGCCGCGUGGAGGAUGAAGGCCUUCGGGUCGUAAACUCCUGUCGGGGGGGACGAAAACUUCGCGCAAGCGGAGUCUGACUGUACCCCCGGAGGAAGCCACGGCUAACUCCGUGCCAGCAGCCGCGGUAAUACGGAGGUGGCAAGCGUUGUUCGGAAUUACUGGGCGUAAAGGGCGCGUAGGCGGCUUUGCAAGUCAGAUGUGAAAUCCCCGGGCUUAACUCGGGACCUGCAUCUGAAACUGCUUUGCUCGAGUCCUGGAGGGGGUAGUGGAAUUCCCAGUGUAGCGGUGAAAUGCGUAGAUAUUGGGAGGAACACCGGUGGCGAAGGCGGCUACCUGGACAGUGACUGACGCUGAGGCGCGAAAGCUAGGGUAGCAAACGGGAUUAGAUACCCCGGUAGUCCUAGCCGUAAACGAUGGACACUUGGUGUCGGGGGUAUUGAGUCCCCCGGUGCCGGAGUUAACGCGUUAAGUGUCCCGCCUGGGGAGUACGGUCGCAAGACUG